UCCUUACAUCAUCUUCAUGCCCUCACGUGUGGCCCUCAACCUCAAUCAGUCCAAAAAUAGUCAAAAAGCCCCUCGGGCUUUAGUAAAACAAUAAUACUCAGCUCAAAUGAUAGUUCAAAUAUCAGUUAAAACUCCACGUUUGAGUAAAAAUAUAGUUGAGCUCAUGAAACAGUGUAAAUCACAUGGACUAAGUUCAAAUAAUAUUUCAAAUAGGGAGAAAACAGUGAUGAUAGCUCACAAGAGUUCAAACAAUCGGCAAUAAGCUCCAAGUAUGGCAAUGAGCCCAAGUCAUAAUGAUAACAACCAAUCAAUUACAAAUACGCGGUGAAAGCCAACAACCGGGACAGACCAAGUCACAUUCCCCAACGGUGCUCUACCCCACGCUCAGGUCCAGCGUGCAAGUCACCACAAUACAAUACUAAGAUGUGCAAAUCCGGGGUUUCAAACCCUCAGGACAUCAUUCCCAAGUAUUACUCACCUCGAACAGGCGAAAUCUCAAGCUCACGACGCCUUUGCCCAUAAAAUCGGCCACCACGCGCGUCGAAUCUAGCAAAAAACAGAGCGAAUACAUCACAAUAUCCAAAUGGGACAAUACCUAAUCGAAAACAAUUGGAAUAUGACAAGAAUCUCGAAACUAGCAAAACCGGAGCCCUGGGCCCGCUUCUCGAAAAUUCUGAAACUUACAUUUCCGGAAUUCUUGUCUCGCCACGAGUUCAUACAUACCAAGAACUCCCAAAUCCGAGCUGAAAUGACCUAUCAAAUCCCAAUUCAGAAAUGUCAAAAACUCAAGUCCUAGCUUCUUCAAUUUCAUACGCAAAUUCAGAGAAUUAAUGGAUGAUUCCUCGAUUAAAUGACGUUUUGAAUCCAUAAGAUUUACCUCCAAUCGAUCCUCUUCGAAUUCCUCUUCAAUUGUCCUCAAGAAGCUCCGAAAAUGCUCAACAAUGGAAGAAAAUGCAUAACCCUCGCGGAUGAAAAAUGAUAAUUUAACCCUUCUGCCCAGCUCGAUUUCCGCUUCUGCAGUCAUACCUCCGCUUGUGCGGCUCUCGCUUCUGCGUCCUUUCGACCGCUGAUGCAGCCCUACCUUUUCUCCCAGGGGCAGCUCGAUUUCUGCUUCUGCGGUCAUACCUCCGCUUAUGCAGCUCUCGCUUUUACGUCCUUUCGACUGCUGAUGCAGUCCAACCUUUUCUCCCAGCGACCGCUUUUGCGGUCAACUACCGCUUACACGGUCACCGCCUAUGCAGUUAUCCUUCCGCACCCGCGAUCCAGGCCAGUCCCCCAUUGGCCACUUCUGCGAUCCCACGUCCGCAUAUGCGGACUCGCUUAAGCAAAAAAGGUUCCACUUCUGCGGAACUACCCAGCUCCACAUCUGACCACUUAUGCGACCAACAUCACGCUUCCGCGGAGCCGCUUCUGCGGUCCAUUUUCCGCAGAAGCGCUAGACACCAGCAAGAUCUGCCACUUCUCAACUUAAGAUUUCAUCCCGAAAGCCACAUGAAAUUACCCCGAGGCCCCCUGGACCUCAAUCAAAUGUACCAACAUAUCCAAAACCAUAUAAGAACUUGUUCCAAUCCUCAAAAGACACACAACAACACUAAAAUCAUCAAAUUACCACGGAUUCAAGCCUAUUUUUCUUCAAAGCUUUCGAUUUGAACAUUUGAUCAAAAACCCAACCAAACGACGUCCGAAUGACCUGAAACUUUACAAACAUAUCAAAAAUCACCUAGCGAAACUAUUGCAACUCUCGAAAUUCCAUUAGGACUCUCGGAUCAAAAUCUCACAUAUCAACCGGGACUCGCCAAUAUUCAAAUUUCGCCAAUUCAAACAUAAUUCUACACCGUACCUCCAAAUUCAAUUCAGAUCGCUCUCCUAAGUCACAAAUCAUCAGGCUAACCGAAUCAUCGGAAAUCAAUCCGAGCCUUUUAACUCACAAGUCAACUUCCAGAUAACUUUUCCAAAACAAGCUUCCUUACUGAUAUUGAAACAUGAAACAACACAAUAAGGGGGAAACAUAGCAGUAACACAUAAGAUGACGGGUCAGGUCGUCACACCUUGGAGAUACGCCUAAUAUUAUUUAUCUCGGUUUGGGCAAAAUAUUCUUAAGGAAAAUGUCUUUGACACGCCUCAAGCUAAACUUUUAUUCUCCGUAAUCAUCAAUUGUUUCCGACAAUUAGUAGCUAGAUUGCAACUGCCUUUUUGAGUAUUUUUGAGGAAUCUGUCAUUAUUGUUUAGACUUCCAUGUGCCGCCAGUCUUAGGAUGAAGAUCCAUCUGGGCAGAACAAGAUUACUAGUUGAUAAAGUAUGUAUUUAAUAAUCAAUAUGAAAUCUAAAUAAUGAAAUGAUCUCGUUUAAUUUUUUAUUUCUCAAAAUGAUAAAAUAUCGUCUCAAAAUCGAGGAUGUAGGAGUUUACUAGAUUGUGACUUGUGUAUGGAAGAUUAAAGAUUGAAGCAUUUCAACAAACUUGAUAAGAAAGUGAUAGUACAUGCUAAGACCAAACAUUAUUUAAAAGUAGAAGAAAAGAAAAUAGUAUAAUAGAUCCAGUAAAUAUUAGAUUUCAUGAAAGGAUCAAAAAUAUUUCUAGAUAUAAUUUAAAAGGAAAAUCCAAUAUAAAGUUUUUAAUAUAUAAUAUAUAAUAUAUCUAUAUAUGUUAGUUUAGGUCGAAAUUUUCUUGCUCAAUACUGAACCAAACUAAUAUACUCAAUUUUUCUAAUCGAUUUGGAUCAACUUUUCAGUUAUAUUGCACACCCUUAGUCAUAAGCAGGGAUGUAUGUAACGAUCCGCCUGGUCGUUUUAUCUUUUAGAAUUUUGUUCUCUUAAAUAAAAUAUUUCGUGCUUGCUUUACCUAAUUUAUAAUUUGCGGGGACGAUUGGUUCGGGAUUUGAAAGUUUUGAGGGAAAGAUGCCUAUUUGAUUCCUUAGAAUUUUAUUAAAAGAUUAAUUUUAACUUUGAUCAAUAUUUUGAGAAAACAGAUCCGAAUUCGUAAUUUGACGGUCCCGGAGAAUCCGUGAGAAAAUAUGGGACCUGGAUAUAUGUCCGGAAUCAAAUUUCGUGGUCCCUAGCCCGAGUAAUGAAUUUUUAUUAGAAAUUGUUAAUCUGAAGUUUUAAGGAUUUAAAGAAACUAAGUAAUGAUUUAUUUCAUGGGUAUUAGGUGUCACACCCCUUUUUUUUAACAAACCAAACUCUACUUAAAUCCUCUUAAUUAAAUAAAAAAAAUUUAUUUAGCUUGAGAAGGGUUUUUCAAUUUUGAAAGUGACAAAAAUUUGUUUCAAAAGGAAAUAAACUCAGAGUCGCCACCUGACUUUGAUUUCGGUGUGCCAGGUCACCGUUCUUUUUAAAAAUAGUUAUUUUUCCUUUUAAAACAUUUCUGACUCUAAAACCAAGUCCGCACCAGAGAUUCAGGUAAAUGGGUUCAUUUGACUCGGGGAGAAGGUGUUAGGCACUCCCCAAAUUCCGUGAAGGUCACGGUUGCGUACUUGAUCUAGUUGGCUUUUUAAAACAUUUAAAUUGAGGUAAAUUACAAAAAAGCAAAGCAAACACACAUGAAGCUCAAGGUCGUCCCUACCUAAUAAAAGAAAAUAAAACAAAAUGAAAUUAGUCUUGAUAAUAACCUAUAUUACGCCUCCAUUGAUGUUGCCGCGGCCUCCAAAUACAAGUACUUUGGGGCAUUCCCCGGAAUAAAAUAUACACAAGUCCUUCGGACAUUCCCCGGAUAAAUUUAAUUAAGGGAACGACCUCUCGCCUCGAAACUAACAAAAUCCUAAGAUUUGCCUAUCCGAGUGUGAUCGGUCUAAACAUGCUCCUAGCGAGUCAAUGAGCAAAUGCAAAAUAAAAAUAAUAGAAAUCCAAUUGAUUCUAUUUAAUCAAACCCAUACUCAUCCGACAAUGAGUUUCAGUUUUCUCAAAUAAAUACCUUCCAAUAUCAAUUUCCUUCAUUGUGGACACCUAAUUAAGCAUGAAUCAUCUUCUCUCUUUUUUUAACAAAAAAAUGCAUACACCAGCAAUGAGCAUUUGUGAAAUCGUGGCACUACUGAACAAUCAUGUUUUGCUCCAUUAACCCAAGCAACUAAAUCUUGUUUCCAAAUUAAACAAUUUAAAUUCAAGAUAUCAUAAAGGAGAAAGAAAUUCGCAUCAAUCCAUCACCCAAACACUGUAUAAGAUAGAGUCAAUAAAUAUAAGGAAAGGAUAGUAAUGAACCUCAAAUUGAUAGCUUUUCCGAUUACAGUAGCAGUGACGGAACAAGAAUCAAGACCCGAGCUCGACCGGAAAUCCUCGUCGGCAACCUCGACGAACUCAAAUUGAAUCACGGCUCAUUCACAAUCUGAUUCGCUUGGAGCGGUUGGGAAACGAUGGCGGGCUGCUAGUUCCUCUCGUUCGCUGCCUCUGUUUUUCCCAUGUUCUCGAUUGUGCGUGCGUGUGUGGCAAAUGACUAUGAGGGUCUCGAUUUUCUGUCAAGCCAAAGGGUUGAAAUGGCUAUAGAGAAUGUUUUAUUUGUGUUUGUUUGGUUCCGAAAGCUAGUUUGGAGAUCAGUCCUUUUUUUUCGUAAAAAAUGAGGUCUGCCGUCUCUUUGUUGUUUAGGAUAUUAAAAUGUUUGGCUCUUUCGUCGGUUUUCUUAGAAGUGUUGGCUCAUUUUUUGGUGAAAUUCCUGAAGAAGAAAUCAAUGGCUGCCUUAGUAUAUACGGCUCUUCGGUUUUUUGUGUCUUAAGGUUCAAAAAUGAAGAAGAAGACCUUGUCUCUUUACGUCUUACUAGGGUUUAUCUUUUUAGGAUUGGGCUCAAAAUCUUGUGGCCUAUUUUGAAUUGGACCAAAUUUGGAUAAGAAAAGCUUAACAAGCC
rnacentral:lncRNA from 1 species